GGCUUCGUAGCUCAGCGGGUAGAGCGCUUUGCCGCGUUGAGGCAUGACGUUUCUGUCAUUGGUUCGAAUCCAGUCGAAGCCC